rnacentral:rRNA from 1 species
AGAAUCAACGCUGGCGGCGUGCCUAACACAUGCAAGUCGAACGAGAAAGGGGAGCAAUCCCACGAGUAAAGUGGCGCACGGGUGAGUAACACGUGACUAACCUACCCUUGAGUGGGGGAUAACCUAGGGAAACCUGGGCUAAUACCGCAUAAUACCUACGGGUCAAAGGAGCAAUUCGCUUUAGGAGGGGGUCGCGGCAGAUUAGUUAGUUGGCGGGGUAAUGGCCCACCAAGACAGUGAUCUGUAU